rnacentral:rRNA from 1 species
UACGUGGGACCCAAGCGUUAUCCGGAAUUACUGGGCGUAAAGAGUUGCGUAGGUGGCAGGUAAAGUUGAUAGUGAAAGCGUGUGGCUCAACCAUACAAACAUUAUCAAAACUCACCAGCUAGAGUAUGGGAGAGGUAGAUGGAAUUUCUAGUGUAGGAGUGAAAUCCGUAGAUAUUAGAAGGAACACCGAUGGCGUAGGCAGUCUACUGGCCCAUUACUGACACUAAGGCGCGAAAGCGUGGGGAGCGAACGGG